AAAAAAUAAAAAGGAAUAUCUGUAGGAAAAAGCAAUGGAUGAGAUGGAGAUUGAAAUUACAGAUUGAAAUUAAACUUAGCAAUACAAAGCAGAAGGCCAUCAUGCUCUGGUAUUAAGAAAGGUGCUGAAUGGCUGCAGGAGUUCCAUCAAUUCACUGCAAACCACAACUCUGCUGCUUCACUUUUUCCUGUCUGUGAUUAGUUUUCUACCUCAAUGGACAUUAUUAAAAAUUUUUGGUAAAGGCUCAAUAUUCAGAUGACUUGGUAACCGGAAUGGGCUCCCAACAUUAGACAGUUAUCAAAACUCAAGCAAACUAAAAUCUUGCAGGUGAGCAGCAAUGGACAAGAGCUCUGCAGACGUAAGGACCACGCCAGCCUGAAGUUGAAAAGAAAGGACAAGCUGUGACUACCACAACAGGAGCACUGAAGGAGACUCCCAUGGGAGAGAAGUCUGGAAACGCUCUUCUUCCAGAAGCACAAAACUUCCUUCUUUUCUUGAAAUUCUGUCAUUAUAGAACCCAGGGAAAAAAAUGCAUGAAAGAAGAGAGCUAAUAAAUGGAAAAUUAAGAAAACUGGGCCACAGAAUUUUGAAAAAACAAAAAUGAAGGGAUACGACAUCAGAGAGAGCCAUGGGAAUCCUAGAAGACAUCAUUAUUAAAAAUAGCAAAGCCAUAAACAGAGAGGUUAAGCCAGUGAAAGAACAAGGACAAAAUAUGGAAGACUUGGACCUCCAAUUUCUAUUAUAAGCACUACACCAAAAAAAGCUUGUAUGUGACAUAUAUAAAUAAGAAUAAUUAUAAAUAAAUUUCAGCCUUU